CAACGGAUCUUCCUGCAGACGGUAAUGAGGACAGAGACGGUUCGGCAGGAGUUUCCAGAAGACGAAGGAACUGCCUGGUGGGUUCAACCAGAGGCCUUUCCUGUCUGCUUCAUUUCAUACUGCAUUGGACUGAGCAUUUUCAGAAGAUAACAAGGGAGAACCACUUUUAGGCUGUCAGCAUGGCACAUGUCCUAAAUAUGACACGUCUGAGAGCCUCAACUUCAUGUGGUCAACUUUCUCAUAAUAAACUGCUGCUGGAACAAGAACAACCUUAUUCGGGCCUUCAACAUACUAAAUCACAGGAGCAUUAUCAAAUAUAUAAUGUGAAUAAUCAAGAUAUUUGUUUUGGCAGAUAAUGAGCGUCUAAUCAAAGUCCUAGUUAAAAGUCUAUAGCUGAAGUAGGAAAGAGAAAUCAAAGGUUGAUGAGCUUUGUUCCUUCUAAUUUUUAUUUUAAGUGGGGUUCCAAGAUCCAUGUGCAACCUUGCUUUACAGAAGUCAAUACAGUGGCACAUUGGCUCUGUUGAUGGGGUGAUUGAUUUGCUCAGCUGGACAAAUCUAGAACACUGGACCUUAAGAUUACAGAUAGGCCAUUCAGGGUUGACGUCAGGAAGCAUCUCCCUAUAUAGAAGUGAAAAGGUUAGUUAUUUUAAAAAAAAACUCAGUCUGCUAAUGAUGAUAGAAUGAGGUAAAGGGAAUAUACAAACAUCCAUAGUUUGAGUAGAAGUAGGUAAUUUUUCCCCUGGAGCCUGCCUCAGCAUUUACAAAGAUCAUGACUGAUCUAAUUGUCCUCAACACCACUUUCCUGUUUACACCCACACCCUUUAAUGGCUUUGUCAGCCAGUAUGAAUUAAGAUGCCGUUCCUCAUUCUUGAAGUUCCUUUGGCUGUUUCAACCAAUCAGCCAGUAUCAAUUUUUAUUUGGAAUUGUACCCCCCCAGCUACCGUUUUGUUCAACUCACAUUCUUAGCUUCUGAGCUGGAGCCUCAGAUUCAACAGUUUAAUAUUUGAGGUUACAUACAGACUUUGAAUCGAUCUCACUCACACAACACUGAUCUCAUGUUCACAAAAAACCUGACCUUUUCCUGUCAUGACAAACUCUCUGCAAAUAUCCAAUGUUUUUCCUACAUUUUAGCCAAUUUUCUGUCCAUUCCCAGGAUUUAUUCUGAAUUUCUAUCCAAUUUACUUUAAACUAGUGCUUUAUCAAAUAUCUUUUUGAAUUAAGCCUAUAAUACCUCAACUUGUCUUAGUGUGGUAAGAAGCACUGCAACAAAAACUGUAAGGCUGUGCCAAAAUAACUUUGCAACUAGUGGGCUCUAAGGUGCAAAGUAAACAUUUAAGUACAAUGUUAGCACAUAUUUCUAAAAUAUAUCCUCUUUCUCAUCAUUCCAAAUUUCUUGAAUGCACGUCACAUCCAAACAUGAGAAAGGUGCAGUUAACAAAACCAUGCCCAACUCUCAAAUUCUGAUUUGCUCAUGAAUCUGUGGAUUGUAAAAGUAUAUCCCUAAUAUAUCAAAAGUGAAAAUAAGCAUUACAAGUUCUGCACUACCAUCCAAAUCAGCAGCGAAGACUUUAGAAUGCUUGGAGAAUCAGCAAACAAUUUCUUGAUAGGUAAACACUAACAUACCAUAUUUGGGUACAUUAAUUUUCCCCUAAAUUCAUAGGAAGGGAGAAUGUCCUUGUCUCAGCUGCUGAAGGAAAGAACAGUGAGAAUAAUAUUAACUAAAUUGGUUGCCUUUUACAGACUAGCCACCAGAAGGGAGAAUUUAAUCUGCCUUUAGCAGAAACAAUCAGAAAUUCAAACAAUUGAACAGAAUGGCAGGGAUUUCCUAAAUCUGACCUACUCGAGUUGACCACAUGCUGAGUCAGCAAAAUGGCAAUUGAUGGUAUCUGCAAAACUGUGAUUUCGUUAGAUCAUCUUGCUCCAUUGUGUAAAGAUAAGAUGUAGGAACAGAAGUAAACUAUUGAAUGAGAUCAUGGCUGAUCUGAUAAUCCUUAACUCCACUUUCCUGUCUCAUUGCUCUCACCCUCAAUUCACUCAUGGAUAAAAACUCUGUUUAUCUCAGCCGUGAAUAUACUUAACAACCCAAUCUUGACAGCCCUCUGUGGUAAAAAAAAAUCCACAGAUUCACUGCUGUCAAGAAAUUUCACCUUACCGCUGUCUUAAGUGGAAGACUGCUUAUGCCCUCUGGUCCAAGACUCUCCCACAAGAGGAAACAACCCCUUGACAUCUGCCCUGUCAAGCUUCAUGAAUCUUGAGUUUCAGUCUCCUUGUUCUCAACUCCAGUGAGUAUAAGUGCACCCUACCUAACCUCUCCUCAUAAGCUUGAUUACAAGUAUGGAGGGAUUUUCUCAUGGAACAUCCUCUGGUCUGCCUCCAAUGCCAGUAAUAUCUUUCCAUAGUAAGGGGACAAAACUCUUCAGAGUAUUCCAGGUUUGUUCAGACUAGUGCCUUGUAUAGUUUUAACAAGACCUCCUUGUUUUAACACUCCAUUCUCUUUAAAGACCAAAAACCCAUUUACCUUCCCACUUCCUGCUGAAUUCUUAUGUAUAAAUUUUCUGCAGACUUUGCUGAGGGAUAAGAUGACCCUGAAGCCAAGCUGGUAUUUGAGCUUAUUAGCAUUACAGCAAUGUAGUGAUCACAUUCCUGAAGUUUAAUUU